AAUAAGUUCACUUUUAGUUUUUUUAUAUAACAUUUGACUCUUUGUCUUAUUUAAAUUAUUUUGCGAUUAAUAUUUUUAUUGUUAUGAGAUGAUAAAAUAUGAAUAAUACUUUACACAUGACUAAUUUUUUUUUGAGUUUUUAAAUAAAUUUUUAAAAUAAGAUGGAUGGUCAAAUGCUGGACAUAGAAACC
rnacentral:pre_miRNA from 1 species